UAGCUCAGUUGGUAGAGCAGAGGACUGAAAAUCCUCGUGUCACUGGUUCGAUUCCGG
rnacentral:tRNA from 1 species